ensembl:lncRNA
AUUCAGCAAGGCAAAAAGGCUUUGAGCAGUCCCACAAUUGCCUUAGUCUCAUUUAUUUGUGGUAGUAUUAAGGUUUAUUUGUUUUCUGGUUUGCACUUCUUCUGAAAUUAUUUCUUAGUUUAUUCAUUUAACAAAAUGUUCCUUCCUAUGUCAAAGAAGAAAGUGCCUACAAGGCCUAGAUAGGUUCUUCAGUCUGCAGACCUCCCUUUGAGAACAUUUCUUCCAACUCACAUUGCUGGAGCUCCUAAAUAUCUUUCAAGGGCUCCUCCAUUCUUUGAAGCUCAAGAAAUAUAUCACAGUUGUUUUUUUGGGGGGAUCAGGCUCUUCUCUGCAUGAUUUCUGCAUCAGCCAUUCCGGAAAUUUGAAGAUGAGUUGUCUGCAAAAAGAAAAAGAAACAAAACUUCUCUUGUGAAACUUUCUCACCUUUCUGACUGGAUGAAGACAGGUCCUGAAACAUGCCGGGCUGAGAAGAGCUACUCAAAAAAAUAAUUGAACAUGCUGGCCUAUUUACUUACUAUUUACUUUACUUCUUACUUAAGAAGUUCCAAGAAUAUCACUGCUAAGAGUCCUGGCUCAAGCCCUGCAAUGAUGUCAACAACAAAUAACAUUUCCAGUCCAGGAUGAACAUAUGCAUCCAUUUUUUCAGCAAGGAGUAGAAGUUUCAGGAGGUUGUCAAUUUGAAGAUAUUCUCAUCUUAAUCAUUACAUCAUUUGCUUUGUUCAUUAUUAUCCAGGUGACACCAAGGAAUUGCAUAAAUAAGGAAUACUGCCACGCAAAUGAUGAGGUACAGCAAAUGACAUCAGCAAAUUACAAAACAGCCCCUGCAAGUUAUACAAGGAGACAGAGAAUCCAUUCCACAUGAUCAGGAAGAACAAAGUGAUAAUAAAAGCAGGUUUUAUGGAGGUUAUGUCUCACAGCUCUUUAGGUCAGAUAAUAAUGUGCUAUGUCAUUAAGAUGUGGUAUCACUUUCCUGACUAUUGCAAUUGAUGGUUCAUGAUAUGAAUAGACAAUAAAGCAAGCAGUAUGUUUUGAGAUCGUCAUGUAUAAAACUGAGAUGUGUUUUCUGUAAGCUCUGCAUUCCUUCUUGCUCUUCCUUAGGCUAUUUCUUUGCCUUUGUGAGUCAUAAAUAAUAAACAAAAGCACCUUUAUUUGACAGUUCAAACUAAUCCAGCAAAUUAUACACAUAUGCAUUCAUAUACAUCAAUCCAUGUUUACAUAAUAGUAUGCACAUACAUGGUAUUGCUAACAACAUUGUUAUAUAUGUACACACACACACCAGCACAUAUGUAUGUUCAAAGAGAGCAAGAGAGCAGAAGAAAGUGAGCAGGAUUGUUUAAAUGGUUCUGGAAACUUUGCCUACUGUGCUAAUAAGCCUCAUGAAUAACACUAAGUAAAAGAGGGCUCAGGAAUAGAGGGCCAGGAGCACCAUGCUCUAGGUGAUCACAGUUUGUCCCCUGCCUUCCUGAAAGCUAACUUUUCAUUAAUGGCAGAUCUGGAUAAAUGUAUUUAUGUUAUAUAUUUGCAUGAAUACAUGUUCUUAAGUGUACGUUAUAUACCAUUUAUUAUACUAAAUGUUUCCUAUUGUAUUAAGUGCCAGUUGUUAGACACUUAAAAGUGAAAAUCCAGCUUUUAAAACUGUUCACUUUAAUAAUUAGGGUGAACAUAGGAGGCUACAGCAAAUGCACGGAACUGGUGCAUUUCAAAGAGGAAAAAUUAUAAGUGACAGUAACCCUCUAUCAAUUCAUUCCAAGUCAGUUAAUUAAACCUAGAAUUAUUUAAAUAAGGUGACAGUCAAAGGAAAAGGUCAAUGUUCCCAAUGUUUCAAUAGGCCUUCCUCAUCUCUGGAGUUUAAUUAACUGAUUUUGAAUGAAAUGGUCAGAAGUAUGCUAAAACUCAUGAAAUUCUUUCCCUGUUUUUUAAAUGCAAAAGCAUAUUCUCCUUGGGCCUCCACAGUGGAUUUUCAAACCACUAGGAAGCGAAGAAAAUUCUCGGAGUCCACAAAUCUAUAUAUCUGGAAUCUGAUGAUGCUGAAGAGGUGCCUGGCAAAUCUACUGCCAACACUCAGCACUACUGCAGUCCUCAGGAAGGUGGAUAUCCCAACCACUACGUCAGAAAAUCAUCUGCAUAGCAUUUUACUCAAGCACUGUGUCUAAAGGCUCUGGCAGCCUAUCCAUUUAACUGCUCUCACUUUGACAUUCUGGGCUAAUGAACAGCUAUCUUCGUUUGAAAUAGCUCCGAGAGACAGAUUCACAUCAUUGCUUUCUUCCCUCUCUUUCUGUCAUCUGCCUUCACUCCACUUCAUACAGCCUACUCAAGAAUUUCACCUCUUUGUAUGUAAAAUGGUGUGGGGAUUCAAGUACAGAAAUAGAUUUUCAUGAGUUUGAUAGACUGGGAGAAACGGGGAAGCAUGGUUCCAAAGAGACCUAUGUGGGUAAACUCUAGAAGAAAAAUCCUGUACUAGAUGCUCCUUUGGCCUCCUAUUGACCAAAAUAAAUGAUUGGUUUGUAUUUCUCUCC